rnacentral:rRNA from 1 species
AUUGAACGCUGGCGGCAUGCUUUACACAUGCAAGUCGAACGGUAACAGGCCUUCGGGUGCUGACGAGUGGCGAACGGGUGAGUAAUGCAUCGGAACGUGCCCAGAGGUGGGGGAUAACGCAGCGAAAGCUGUGCUAAUACCGCAUGUGAUCUGAGGAUGAAAGCGGGGGACCAGGCAGCAAUGUUUGGCCUCGCGCCUUUGGAGCGGCCGAUGUCAGAUUAGGUAGUUGGUGGGGUAAAGGCCUACCAAGCCGACGAUCUGUAGCUGGUCUGAGAGGACGACCAGCCACACUGGGACUGAGACACGGCCAAGACUCCUACGGGAGGCAGCAGUGGGGAAUGUUGGACAAUGGGCGCAAGCCUGAUCCAGCAAUGCCGCGUGCGGGAAGAAGGCCUUCGGGUUGUAAACCGCUUUUGUACGGAACGAAAAGGCUCUGGCUAAUACCUGGGGCUGAUGACGGUACCGUAAGAAUAAGCACCGGCUAACUACGUG